AUGCGGCGCAGGAGGACGAAGGGGUUGGGCGCCUCGGCGGCGUCCGGGGCCACCGCGUCGGCGUCGGCGUCCGGCGGCGUGGGCAGCACGUGGAAGCGGACGGACGGGUUGGCCGCCGCGGCGCGCGCGACGGCGGCCGAGGUGUCCGUGGCCUUGCCCGGCGGGACGUUGACGAUGACGGUGACGGCGAGGCCGCCGCGCAGGAAGAGCUUGGCCAGCUCCACCAUGGGCACCAGGUGGCCCACGCCGAGCCCGGGGUUGAGAACCACCGUGUCCCCCAUGGCCGGACGCUGCCGCGUACUAGAUUCCAUGUGCGGGAGCCUCGGAAGAACCGUUUCUCCUAAUACCAUGCCAGAUGACACGAUCGGUAUUUGCGUUGAGAUACCUGAUCAUCCAAGCUUGUGUUUUUGA
rnacentral:rRNA from 1 species